AACGAACGCUGGCGGCAGGCUUAACACAUGCAAGUCGAGCGCCCCGCAAGGGGAGCGGCAGACGGGUGAGUAACGCGUGGGAAUCUACCCAUCUCUACGGAAUAACGCAUGGAAACGUGUGCUAAUACCGUAUACGUCCUUCGGGAGAAAGAUUUAUCGGAGAUGGAUGAGCCCGCGUUGGAUUAGCUAGUUGGUGGGGUAAGGCCUACCAAGGCGACGAUCCAUAGCUGGUCUGAGAGGAUGAUCAGCCACACUGGGACUGAGACACGGCCCAGACUCCUACGGGAGGCAGCAGUGGGGAAUAUUGGACAAUGGGCGCAAGCCUGAUCCAGCCAUGCCGCGUGAGUGAUGAAGGCCCUAGGGUUGUAAAGCUCUUUCACCGGUGAAGAUAAUGACGGUAACCGGAGAAGAAGCCCCGGCUAACUUCGUGCCAGCCGCCGCAGUAA
rnacentral:rRNA from 1 species